AGUGAACGCUGGCGGUGGGCCUAAUACAUGCAAGUCGAACGACCGCACAGUAAGCGCUUGUUUUUAAGGGUGGCGACUGGCGGAUGGGUGAGGAGUACAUAGCCAUCUACUUAUACGUGGAGGACAUCGUAGGGCAAGUUACGCUAACACCGAAUAUGACCUACGGGUGAAUGCAGGGGUGCAACGGACUUUGCGUGAUACUAUGAGCUGAAGCCGAAUUAGCUAGUUGGCGGGGUAAAGGCCCACCAAGGCGACGAUCCGUAGCUGGGCUGAGAGGAUGAUCAGCCACACUGGAACUGAGACACGGUCCAGACUCCUACGGGAGGCAGCAGUAGGGAAUAUUGGGCAAUGGGCGCAAGCCUGAUCCAGCCAUACCGCGUGGGUGAAGAAGGCCUUCGGGUUGUAAAGCCCUGUUGUUGGGGAAGAAAAUCUGCGGGUUAAAAUCCCGCUGUUCUGACGUUACCCAAAGAGUAAGCACCGGCUAACUUCGUG
rnacentral:rRNA from 1 species